UAACUUAGGGAGAAGGGGUGCCUACGAGAGUAGGCCGCAGUGAAUAGGCUCAAGCAACUGUUUAUCAAAAACACAGGUCUCUGCUAAAGCGUAAGCUGAUGUAUAGUGGCUGACGCCUGCCCGGUGCUGGAAGGUUAAGGGGAAUAGUUAGCGCAAGCGAAGCUAUGAACUUAAGCCCCAGUAAACGGCGGCCGUAACUAUAACGGUCCUAAGGUAGCGAAAUUCCUUGUCGGGUAAGUUCCGACCCGCACGAAUGGCGUAAUGAUUUGAGCACUGUCUCGGCAAUAAAUCCGGUGAAAUUGUAGUGCAAGUGAAGAUGCUUGCUACCCGCGGUUGGACGGAAAGACCCCGUAGAGCUUUACUGUAGCUUAGCAUUGAAUUUCGGUAUUGUCUGUACAGGAUAGGUGGGAGACUUAGAAGCGAGGGCGUCAGCUUUCGUGGAGUCGUCCUUGGGAUACCACCCUGACAGUACUGGAAUUCUAACUGGAGGCCAUGAAUCUGG
rnacentral:rRNA from 1 species